rnacentral:rRNA from 1 species
UCAGACGAUGCGUCAUGCAUAUCAAUAAGCGGAGGAAAAGAAACUAACAAGGAUUCCCUUAGUAACGGCGAGUGAAGCGGGAAGAGCUCAAAUUUGAAAUCUUCAAGGUUUUACCUUGACGAAUUGUAGUUUAAAGAAGUGUUUUCUGUUGAAGUUUUGGUAAAAGUUCUUUGGAAUAGGACAUCAUAGAGGGUGAGAAUCCCGUAUUUGACCAUUAUUUUCUAGCUGUGUGAUACACUUUCAAAGAGUCGGAUUGUUUGGGAAUGCAGUCCUAAAUGGGUGGUAAAUUUCAUCUAAAGCUAAAUAUUGGCGAGAGACCGAUAGCGAACAAGUACCGUGAGGGAAAGAUGAAAAGAACUUUGAAAAGAGAGUUAAACAGUACGUGAAAUUGUCAAAAGGGAAGCGUUUGACACCAGUGUUGUUUUCUCGAAAAUCAAUUAAAAAGAGUUGGAUUUUGUGUUGUAUUGACCUUAACAGCUUGCUUCACUCUUUUCCUGCUUUUUUUAAUGCACUUUUCGUUUAACAAGUCAACAUCAGUUUCUUUUGUUGUAAAAGGGUCAUUGGAAGGUGGCUUUCUUUUCGGAGAAAGUGUUUAUAGCCUUUGGCCUCUGCAAUCGGAGAGAUUGAGGUCUGCAGCGUAGAUCCUUCGGGGUUAGAUACAUUUGUGCUAAGUUAUAGCCUUUCAUAGACAACUUGUUGACUAUGAUCAGUCAUGUAGCUUACUCGCUUAUGCUAUUUUACCUACGCUUAGGAUGUUGAUAUGCAUGACUGAAU